rnacentral:misc_RNA from 1 species
GAUGAAGAACGUAGCGAAAUGCGAUACGUAAUGUGAAUGGCAGAAUUCAGUGAAUCAUCGAGUCUUUGAACGCACAUUGCGCCCCCUGGUAUUCCGGGGGGCAUGCCUGUCCGAGCGUCAUUGCUGCCCUCAAGCACGGCUUGUGUGUUGGGCCUCCGUCCUCCUCCCGGGGGACGGGCCCGAAAGGCAGCGGCGGCACCGCGUCCGGUCCUCGAGCGUAUGGGGCUUCGUCACCCGCUCUUGUAGGCCCGGCCGGCGCUUGCCGACACAUCAAUCUUUUUUCCAGGUUGACCUCGGAUCAGGUAGGGCUACCCGCUGAACUUAAGCAUAUCAAUAAGCGGAGGA